rnacentral:rRNA from 1 species
UACGUAGGGUGCAAGCGUUAAUCGGAAUACUGGGCGUAAAGCGUGCGCAGGCGGUGAUGUAAGACAGAUGUGAAAUCCCCGGGCUCAACCUGGGAACUGCAUUUGUGACUGCAUCGCUGGAGUACGGCAGAGGGGGAUGGAAUUCCGGGUGGAGCGGUGAAAUGCGUAGAGAUCCGGAGGAACACCGACGGCGCAGGCAGCGUCCUGGCCGCUUGCUGACACUGAGGCACGAAAGCUGGGGGAGCAAACAGG